GAUGAGCGCUAGCGGCAGGCCUAAUACAUGCAAGUCGAACGGUGUCUUCGGACAUAGUGGCGCACGGGUGCGUAACACGUAUGCAACCUACCUUACAUUGGGGGAUAGCCUUUCGAAAGGGAGAUUAAUACCGCAUAAGACAGUAGCUGGGCAUCCAGCAGCUGUUCAAGAUUUAUCGAUGUAUGCUGGGCAUGCGUCCAAUUAGCUAGUUGGUGAGGUAACGGCUCACCAAGGCAAUGAUUGGUAGGGGAACUGAGAGGUCAAUCCCCCACACUGGCACUGAGAUACGAGCCAGACUCCUACGGGAGGCAGCAGUAGGGAAUAUUGGGCAAUGGACGCAAGUCUGACCCAGCCAUGCCGCGUGCAGGAUGAAGGCGUUAUGCGUUGUAAACUGCUUUUAUACAGGAAGAAACGACUCUUGCGAGAGGCAUUGACGGUACUGUAUGAAUAAGCACCGGCUAACCACAUGCCAGCCGCCGCAGUAAGAC
rnacentral:rRNA from 1 species